ensembl:lncRNA
UUAGAUACUGAAAGGCUCGGUCCCCAUGCCCUAAGUACAGAACAGCCUGUGCUAUGUGUGCACCAGGCAGCACUGCACCAUUCAGCUCACAAGUUGGCAACAUUGUCCCUAGCAAUCCAUAUGUACCAAGGCAGGUCUGACAUGGAGACCAGCUGCCAUGAAAUGAUGACUUGUAUUGCUUUCUUCCUCUGGUUAAGACACGACAUAUCAAAAACCAUGCAUUAACCACUUCCAUGAGGUUUAUUCAACAGUAAUUCAAGAGCACCAUAAGGAGCAGCCUAGAGAUUGAAGACAUCGACUCCUAGCCUUUCUUGUGCAGAAUCACUUCAAGUCCACUGGAGGUUUUCCACUAAUCUGGGCUUGUGAUUAUUGUCUCUUCUUGUAUGGAAGACUGCCAUUCUUUAGAGGAGAGAAAACAUCUUGAGUCAGCCAAAGUGCGGGAAAUCCAGGGCCUGGCACACACAGGCUACGUUUCUAGGAGUAAAUGUAAUGUGCUCAAGACCAUUGCUAAAGACUGUGUUAAUUAAGCCAGCUGGCACAGGAUAGGUUACAUCCAUUCUGUCCAUACUUCUUAUUCCCUGUAAGAGGACAGCCUUACGCGAACUACUAAUUACUUCCUAUGCUUCCUAACUUCCCAACAGUACCACAGAAUCAAUGGGGAGAGUUGUCACAACAACGUGUCAGGGUUUGCUAUAGCAGUUUAACAGUGUAUAUGGCUGUUCCAGUGCCAGGAACCCUCCCUAGCAGCACUCAGUUUUGUCUUCUAGUAUAGGCGCAGCCUGUGAGUUCUGCCUGUAUUUCAGUGAUCACCAGUCAUCCUAUGAGGAUUGUUACCAGUUGGAAGAACCUACAGGGGCUUUUUUUGCACCAUGGCCUAAACUGGAGCAAAACAAACAUCAAAAUCUGAGAAUUCAUAAGCAGCUUUGGAAAUAGUUCUGUGUCUUUACUGUCAGGCAGCUGUACAAAGCCUCCACUGGAGGCAGCAAAGGGUCUAUGUAAAUCAGGAAGAUUCACAGUGAAAUCAUAUUUGCAUCAAAAUAGAAUAAAAAGGGUCUAAAAAUAUCUUUUUUUUUUUUUUUCCUCUUGUGUACAUUUUCUUUUGAGUAGAUCCUAUAUUGCAAUGAAAUAAAACUGCCAAUACUUUUAGUUUUAGCUUGAGGGAAAAGAAGCGUUUAAAAAGCAAUAUUAUAAGACCUUGGCAAGAUGGUCUUUCUACUAAGACAGAAAAUGACUUUGCCUCACAUUACAUUAUUUUUAACAAUCUAUACUGUACUUACUGAAUUCUUUACUAACACGAUUGCUCUCUUCAGCCUCUUUCAUCUCAUUCCCCUCCAAAAACUCAGAACCAUGCUAAAUGGUUCUAAAACUGAAAAUUGUCUCUAUUUAACAUUCAUUACAAAGUGGAGAAAAUCUUCAAUUUAUAUGUGGUGGGUUUUUUUGUUGUUGUUUUGUUUGUUUGUUAUGUUUUUUGUUUGUUUGUUUGUUUUUGGCUGGUGUUAAAUUUCUGUGUUCCAAAAAUAAUGUUAUAAAGACCUUUUCUAUGAUCUAAUUUUUUUUAAUUUUCACUAUUUUGGAAACACAGCUAGAUGAAGGAAAAACAAAAACAAAAAAAACACACCACAAAAUAGCUGUGUAACUGUGAAAAGACUUUCCAUUGCUGAAUUAGUACCUGUAUGCUGCCAUCAAAAAUACAAAUCUAACUGACGAUUCACUGUUUACGUUAUUCAUUCGGGUUUUACAUGGGGCUCAGCUUAGAUAAUAAAAGCAUCCAUUUUCACAUUUUCUAGUUGGCACUCUUAUCUGGGGAAGUCUUUAUACGUUUUUAUAAUGAAUUAGAGGAAAAAGAUAACUCAAGGGAAAGGCAUUUGUCUUAAAAUGUUAAUUUCCAAUUAAA